UUUGACCCUUCGAGUUUGCGAAUAAAAUAAGGGCCAUUAUACGUAUGUGAUGAUUUAUCCAUGGCAUUAUGUACAAGAAUUUGGAUUAGGCAAUCUUGUUGGAAUUCCGGUUCACGGUUUACCAUGUGCUUGUUGAAUUGUAUACAAUCGUUGCUUUGAAAUAACAUAUGGCGUUCAUAAAAGAUGGAUGGUUUUCCGAGAUCAAUGAUCUUUGGUAUGGUCAAGCCAUGUCGUUUGAGAUUAAAGAGAUUUUAUAUCAUAAAAGAUCCCAAUUUCAAGAUAUUCUUGUGUUUAAGAGCAAGUCACAUGGUAAUGUGUUGGUACUAGAUGGUUGUAUACAAUGUACUGAUCGAGAUGAAUUUACUUAUCAGGAAAUGAUAACUUAUCUUCCUCUGAGCUCUCAUCCCUGUCCAAAGAAGGUCUUGGUUAUUGGCGCAGGUGAUGGGGGUGUUAUACGAGAGAUUGCAAAGCAUCCUUCUGUCGAAUCUAUUGUACAAUGUGAAAUAGAUGAGGAAGUUGUAAAUGUUUCAAAGAAAUUCUUACCUAUAUUAUCAUGUGGUUAUUCAAGUCCCAAACAUACUCUACAUAUUGGCUGUGGUAAAGAGUUUAUGAAGAAGCAUCAGGGGGAAUUUGAUGUCAUUAUAACUGAUUCAUCUGAUCCUAUAGGACCUGCUGCUUCUUUGUUUGAAAAAGAAUAUUAUCAACUUAUGAAAUUUGCUUUAAAGCCAGAUGGACUUUUGUGCAGUCAAGGUGAAUGCCCUUGGCUAGAUGCUGCUUUUAUCAACAAUAUGAUGAAGUUCUGCAACCAACUGUUCCCCGUUGUUCAAUAUGCAUACACUAAUGUUCCCACUUAUCCAUGUGGACAGAUUGGAUUUCUAAUGUGCAGUUCCAAUCCAGAAACCAGGUUUGAUCAGCCAUUGGCUUCAAUGAAAAUUUGUCCUCAUUUGGUUUCAAACUUUAUAACUGGAUGUUCAUAGCACGGCUUGUGUCUUUCCACAGUAUUUCAAGAAGCGUGAGAAAGACUUUAGAAAAACUGGUGCAAGGGAUGAAAAGGACUGGUUUUGGGAAAAGCGACAAAACUCUCCUGACCAAUCACUAUGUUUGAUUAAAGAAGAAGUUCACAUCUCGGAAAUAAUUGAUGAUCAGAAAGUGCUUGUUUUCGAAAAUUUCAUUUAUGGAAAGGUAAUGGCAGUUAACGACGUCAUUAUUCGUACAGAACGCGAUCAGUUUUUCUUGGAUGAAUCCUUAGUUCAUCUUGCUUUGAGCUGUCACGAGAAUCCGAAAAAGGUUUUCCUUGUUUCAGAUUUUUCUAUGCAGACAUUUUCCUUUUUACCCGCUCUAAAAUGUAGGUGGCGAUCAUAGGUGGUUUGAGUGGUGCUAUUUUACAUGAAGUAUCGCGAUAUGCUUCUGUUGAAGAGAUUUAUAUGUGCGAGGAAA